rnacentral:rRNA from 1 species
CAACGCCGCGUGGGGGAAGAAGGUUCUCGGAUUGUAAACCCCUUUUCUGUGGGAAGAUGAUGACGGUACCACAGGAAUAAGCCUCGGCUAACUACGUGC